rnacentral:tRNA from 1 species
GAGGGUAUAGCUCCAAGAAAGAGUGCAUGCUUAGCAUGCAUGAGGUCCUGGGUUCAAUCCCCAGUACCUCCG